UCCAAGACCAAACCCUCGUAACUACUCAAACACAAUUAUAAUCGCAAUAACAAACUCCCCACUACCUGUUCAACACAAUUCCUCAUCAUCUUCGAAUGCUAAUUAUACUACUAGUUUGAAUACUUGAAACUAAUUUCUUGUACCACCUUGACCUUAUACGUUUGGCCUUCCCAAAAUAAGUUGCGAUCAACGUUAACUCCCAUAUUAAUGGCCUUUCCCUCCAAGACCGCCCC
rnacentral:lncRNA from 1 species